rnacentral:rRNA from 1 species
UUCACGGAGAGUUUGAUCCUGGCUCAGGACGAACGCUGGCGGCGUGCUUAACACAUGCAAGUCGAACGGUGAAGCCCAGCUUGCUGGGUGGAUCAGUGGCGAACGGGUGAGUAACACGUGAGCAACCUGCCCUCCACUUCGGGAUAAGCCCUGGAAACGGGGUCUAAUACCGGAUACGAGCACUCGACGCAUGUCGGGUGUUGGAAAGUUUUUCGGUGGGGGAUGGGCUCGCGGCCUAUCAGCUUGUUGGUGGGGUAAUGGCCUACCAAGGCGUCGACGGGUAGCCGGCCUGAGAGGGCGACCGGCCACACUGGGACUGAGACACGGCCCAGACUCCUACGGGAGGCAGCAGUGGGGAAU